rnacentral:rRNA from 1 species
AUUGAACGCUGGCGGCAGGCCUAACACAUGCAAGUCGAGCGGAUGAAGGGAGCUUGCUCCUGGAUUCAGCGGCGGACGGGUGAGUAAUGCCUAGGAAUCUGCCUUGUAGUGGGGGAUAACGUCCGGAAACGGGCGCUAAUACCGCAUACGUCCUGAGGGAGAAAGUGGGGGGUCUUCGGUUCUCACGCUAUCAGAUGAGCCUAGGUCGGAUUAGCUAGUUGGUGGGGUAAAGGCCUACCAAGGCGACGAUCCGUAACUGGUAUGAGGGGGUGACCAGUCAGAUGGGCACAGAGACACGUUCCAGACUCCGACGGGAGGCAGCAGUGGAGAAUAUUGCGCGAGGGGCGAGAGCCGAAUACAGCCAUGCCGCGUGUGUGAAGAAGGACUUCGGAUUGUAAAGCACUUUAAGUUGGGAGGAAGGACAGUAAGUUAAUACCUUGCUGUUUUGACGUUACCAACAGAAUAAGCACCGGCUAACUUCGUG